ACGGAAUAGACAGUCAGUCGAGGCAGCAGAGAGGGUGCCACGCGGCCAGCGGAGGCGCAGGGCAGCUGCGGAGGGAUCUUGCCACGGGGCGGAGGGACCGCGCUCCCCACCAGCGCGGCUCAUUCAGGCCACCCUGGGUUCUACCCCCCUGGGAAGACUUCCUUUGGCCAGUGUCAAUCAGUGCCAAAACCAAGAGGAAAACUGAGGAGGGUUUCAUUAUAGAAGACUAUACCACCUGGACACAAGGAUACAAGAGCAGAGUUGCUGAAGCCAUCUUGGAGUAUCAGGUCUCCCUGAUUCUUCUGAAUCCUCCCAGAGAGCCACCACAGAUCUAGGCAUUCUGAUCAACAUUCAGUGGCAAGCCUGGAGGGGCAAUGCUUGCCUCCCAUCGUAUGGCAGGCCAGAUAUAUUCCUGGCCCAUCAGAAGCCUUCUUCUGGAUGCAGUCUAUAAGCCACUGUGAUGGAUGAGAAGAGCCCAGGAUGGAGAUGAAAGUCUGGAACCAGAAUCUGAGCCCUUAUUUUUCUGACUCACUCUUUUACCUUGGAAGAAUCACUGAAGUUUUCUACAUCUCUGUUUCCUCAUAUGUUUAAAAAGAAAGCACUUAACCUUGGUGGUUA